UGACCCGGGCCCGGAGGGUGUGGGGAAGCCGGUGUCCUCGCCUCGGUGCCCAGAGGGCGAAGGGGGUCCCGGGAGGCCAACGGCCCCCUCUCUCCUGGGGGAUCAGCCAGGGAACUGACUCCCUGAGGCCAUAAAACUGUUUCCCAGUGUGACUCUUGUGUCCUUUAAAGUCGUAGCGCACGGCACCGGGUUUUGAGAGCUAAAUGUAAGGCUAAUUCGGAACACGUUGGGCGCGAUAACUCCGAGUUCACGUUGUUAGUGGAGAUAAGCAGGAAGGAGCAGGUGCUUUUGAACUUACUUAUCAGCCUCUCCGCAGGCUCCGGGGCGCCGCGAGGCUCAGCAGGGUCUCGGGGAAGAGGCUGCCCCAGGCCCCGGGCCUCCGUUUCACCCGCCGACCUUUGUUCCCGGCGGGGGCGCGGGCGUUGGUCGCGGGGAGCCGCGCCUGGGCGCUGAGCCCCCCCAGCGGCGCCGGGAGCCUUCGGAGCGGGCCCUGCGGAGACUUUGCGUUUUAAGGUCACAUCCUGAUCUUGGCGAAGAAGGGGAGGCCCACGCGGGGGGCUGAGCACGAGGCCACCUCCUGGGCUGCAUCGCUCCCCUCCUGUCGCCCUGGCCCGCCAGCCUCUGCCGCAAAUGGCCCCGCCGCGCGGCCCAGACGACCAGUCCCCGGGGCCCUGAGAAGGCCUGCCUCUGGACGAGGACGUCAGCCCGGCUGGCUCUGCUGAAGUCGCUCAUCACCAGAUAAGUGACGCUCCUGCUCACCCCACCUACAGAUGGACACCCCUGGAUCCAACACCUCCAUUUCCAUCCCUGGUAACUGACUUCUGCUCAUGGCUUGAUGAGGACUGUGGAACAUGCCCCACCUAUGCAGCUCUGGAGGUAUAUCGGUGGACCCCGUUGACUGCCUUGCGGGCCGAGGCAACUGGCGCCCAACAUGGGGCCCCGCUGAUCGCCUGUGCGGACCGCUGUCCCCUUCGAUCGCAGCGUUUCGCCCGGCUCACCGCGACUACUCGACCGCGCGCCGGCAUUCCCUGAAGACCCCCGUUCCCCAACAGCGGCAUUUCAAAGGAAACAGAACGCACCGAAUAAACAUCAUUAUACUACUCGGAACACUCCCAUACCUAAAGACAGACGGAGGACGAGAAGGACCACCCCAAAACCCCUGCCUCACCCUAUUUGGACAACCCUGCGUCUGUAAAGGAAAAGAACUUUCCGAACACACCCUUUGGGGUGGACUUAACAGAAUUCUCCCCUACCCCCUUCCCCUCUUAGGACCUUUAGUUUCUAUCAUUCUCUUCCUCUCCUUUGCCCCCUGGAUUCUUAGACGUAUAACUAACUUAGUCAAAGACCAACUUAACAGUGUACUAGGAAGACCUAUUCAGGUACACUAUCAACAAUUAGAAAUGCUGGAACAAGGAGCGGACUCUGAGCCGUACAGCCGCUGGGGUGCUAGCCCACGAUUCCUGCCAGGUUCCCCUCCUGCGGGAGCAGCAUAACCCUCGAAGAUAUGCUUCACAGCCAAGUAGCUGUGAUAGACACCGCUGGGUGCAAGGCAAAGCACUGCAAGGAGAGGCCUGUACAUACGGCCACUUCGAGUCUCCUGAGAGGUAUAUCGGUGGACCCCGUUGACUGCCUCGUGGGCCGAGGCACUGGCUGACACUCAUCCCAAUCAGAAUAUUUUAAAACCAAUAAAAUAUCAAUAAUUAAACAUCCCAAUGGUGGUCUUACAGUAACGUUCAGCAGACACCUUCUCUCUCUCUGCAUCAGCGGGGGCCCGCACCAACGACCUCUCAUUUGGAAGUCCGGAAUAAGAGCGAAUGGGUAGAUAUCAGGACAGUGAGAAUGUACGACGGCAUCUUAGGUUGUGGAUACAGUAGAGCAAGCCAAAACAAAGACCAUUACUGAGACUCGACUAUGCUCACGGAACCAGCCCGCUCCUGCCAAGACCAUCAGGCUAAUUCUCAGUCUAACAAGCUGUGCUCAGAGGAGGAAAAAACCAGCACAUUUGGUCUACUGAGUGCCAGGCACUGUGCUCUGCAUUUUACUUAGCGUGUCACUAAAAAGUCACUGACCCCAGUGAAAUAAACUCCAUCCCCACUUUACACAUGAGGAAACAGGGGCCUAAAUACUUUGUCCACACCAGUAGACUGGGAUCCAAAAAGUCUGAGAUCCUGAAACCCAUGUUUUAGCGCCAUUAGAACUGGGCUCCCUGCAGAGUCCCACAUGAACUUCUACCACUGGGAGAAAAAGUCGGUCUGAAAAACCACAAACCUCUUAUUUGGAUCUUAGAGAAGACAGCUCAUGAACGAAUGAGUGCUCCAUUCACCUGACCCAAUUUAAACCCAAAUUCUUAUUUUUCAGGGAGCUACAGGGAUGCACUUGCCUGCAGUGAAACCAUGAACCAUAAAGCUCUUUCCUACAGUCGGACUGUCCCAGGGACUCAAGUAGAUCCCGAAACUCAUGGCAGCAGACUUCUCUGAGGCGGCGGUUUUCAACUGGUACGCUGCAAUUUUUAAACAUGCAGUACCUGACUAGUCAGGGGCCCUGGCCUCUUUUCCCCUAGACUGUCAACAAAAUGACAGCAGCCAACAGGACACUGGCUGUCUGGUGUGAACGCCACAUCUUGAACCAUAAUAUAGGUCACAUGACAGAGUUGUGACUUACUGGAUAAGUCUUGGUAACAGAAAUCCUUAGAUACAAGUAUGGGCACCUGAUUUUUUAAAAAGGCACUUUAUAGCACAAAGGGUAGGUAAUUACUAUUAUCAUUAUUGUUUUUGUAAAUCAAAAUUAUACCUUUUUUUGGUCAGAUUGGCAAAAUCUGUAUUUUCGGUGUGCCGCAGAAUUUUAGUAAUCAGUUUAUGUGUGCCAUGAGAUGAAAGGUUGAAAAAUCGCUGCUCUAAGGAAAAUUAAAAAAUUACAUUGUUCACUUAUGUAAUAUCACAGUGUCUUCAAAUUUUCGGUCCCUGAAUCACUUUCUUCGGGAUUAAGAUUAAAAAAGCAAAUUCUCUAGGAAAACACAUACACACCCAGCAUGGCUACUAGAUGCCGAUCACUGAUUAGCGGGUCACUUCCUGGAGCACAGCCAGGGUCCAGACCCAGCCAGCCUUUGCCCUGGAGAGCCACGCACGGCACACGUAUCUACCACUGUUGGGACCGACAAAAUGGAAGGUUCUAAGGCUUUACACCACUGCCCAACACUGAGCAGAUUCCACAUCAGCGCUUUGGAGGCAGCACGGGCAGCUUCUGAACAUUGCUACCCUUUCUCCG